rnacentral:rRNA from 1 species
GAUGAACGCUGGCGGCGUGCCUAAUACAUGCAAGUCGAGCGAACGGACGAGAAGCUUGCUUCUCUGAUGUUAGCGGCGGACGGGUGAGUAACACGUGGAUAACCUACCUAUAAGACUGGGAUAACUUCGGGAAACCGGAGCUAAUACCGGAUGAUAUUUUGAACCGCAUGGUUCAAAAGUGAAAGACGGUCUUGCUGUCACUUAUAGAUGGAUCCGCGCUGCAUUAGCUAGUUGGUAAGGUAACGGCUUACCAAGGCAACGAUGCAUAGCCGACCUGAGAGGGUGAUCGGCCACACUGGAAGUGAGACACGGUCCAGACUCCUACGGGAGGCAGCAGUAGGGAAUCUUCCGCAAUGGGCGAAAGCCUGACGGAGCAACGCCGCGUGAGUGAUGAAGGUCUUCGGAUCGUAAAACUCUGUUAUUAGGGAAGAACAUAUGUGUAAGUAACUGUGCACAUCUUGACGGUACCUAAUCAGAAAGCCACGGCUAACUACGUG